AUCCUCUUUGCUUUACUGCAUGGGGUACUGUCCACUUAAAGCCCCUCUCUCAAAUAUGUGUAAUGACAAUUACAUUACAGGGGCUUCAUACUCCCUUUAAGAUUCUUAUAUUUGUACAAGGUAUAUGAUUUUAAUUGACCACACCAUGUCCCUUUAACAUUAAUUUACAUAAUUGCAACUUAGUUCAUCUUAUCCUGUUGCCUUCCCUUUCCUUAGCUUGUGAAUGUGCAUUCUUGUGCACUAGACAAGGACGCUCCCUCUCACUUCCUAUGCCUUCCAGUAAGUUUGCCCAUUGCUAAGACCUUUCCAUUUGGACAAUUAAUGUGCAGAGUUGCACUUUCCCAUAACCCUAUUACUUCUAGGACUAUUGUAUCUCCUUUGUAAUAGUGCAGGGGAUACUGUUUCCCUGCCAAGAUCCCUUACUGUUAAUGUACAUAAUAGAAAUUCUUGGCUUUAUCAGUAUACUUCAGUAAUACUCCCUCAGUCAGCUAUCAUGACCUCAGCUCUUGGACAAUUAAUAUGCACCAAUAAUAUAUCAAACGUAUGAUCUUUAGAUCGGAUCCCUGUACCCUCACUAUGGAUCAGGAGUACUGACUUAAGGCUUCUUUUUUUGACUCUGGGUGUGAAUAUUUAUCUAUACACCCUUCUAUUAGAGUAGCACAUCAUUCCCUCAUACUCCCUUUGCAUUACUGCAUGGGCUGCUGAUGACACAAAACUUUUACUGGGACUGCUGAUGAGCACAAUGGCAGUUGGCAAUGGGUUUUUCCUCCCUGGUCUUGUUAGGCAAGCACUCUCAGCUCCAAUUUCUCAUGGUAUAAUAAACUAUAAACACUGCACUGUGCUGUGAACUUGUCCAUCAAAGGGUGACCCACAUUCCCACUCCUUUUGCAUUGGCUCCAAUGUAUCAAAUUCCAAGUAAUCAUGGCCUUGCCCUUAUCUUCCCUCUUCAAACCCCUUGCCUGCCCUUGGACCCUUCUUAUGGAUUUUUAAUGUUCACAAUUUCAGGUGUCCAUCUAUCCAGAUGAGAUUAUGCUCCCUCACCCCUCCCACCCCUGCCCUGCCCAUUUUUCACUGUUGCUGGGAAAUGUUGACUGAGCAAAACUUUUCUCUUGGAUUUACAAUGUUAACAAUCCCAGAUGUCAUUGUUCUGCCCACUUUGAAUUUCUAUAAUUCCCUGUUGCGCUUUCCUUGGUCCCACCCAUCAGUCACGGACUCUUCCAUUUCCUUCUUUGCGUUACUUCUGAAUAGUGCUGACCACCCACAGCCCCUUCUGUGUUAUUAACACAGUAUUGAUUGUCCCAUUUUUUAGCCCAUCAGCCCAAGAUCUCCACACCAUUUUGAUGUUAUAUUUGUGCAGUAUGGACUACCAAAAGCAGACCUGAACUAGGUGACUGGGCUUUCACUCCUUUUCCUGCAUUUGUUAAUGAUCCCAGUUCCGAUUAUUGUCAUACUCUGGGGACAGAACCGUUCCUGAUCCCCUCUGUUACUGCUUUACUAGGCAAAAUGCUCAAGGCAAGUCAGACCCAAGGGAACUGGAUUGCUACCCUUUAUUUUGGGUUUUCAUUAUAUAUAAAUAUCAUUUGAAAAUUGACUUCCCAGGAAGGAAGGUUAGCACUAUCUGUGCAUUCUUCCUUUCAAAGCAGAUUGCCUGGCUAUGUCUCUCCUUUCCUCUUGUAUAUUGCCAUUUUAUAGUGCCAAUUGCCAGGAUACAACCAAAAGGUUUUUUUUUUUUUUUUUUAAUUUUUUAAGAAAGACAUCUGGAUUGCAGGGUGGAAUUGAUAACCUGGUCAUUGAAAUUUUGAAGUCGGUAAACCCAUUUAUAUCAUGUACCUGAUGACCAGUGUCUCUCAUUUUACUAAGGGUGGUGAGUCUGUGGAUAGACUACUGUGACUUUGAUAUUUUAGUAUAUUACCAAAGGAGUUUUAGAGUGGAACUCUUAAGACCAGUGUCUUUGGGCUCUACCACCAUUUUCAAACCAUUCCUUAUUUGGGCUUUACCAGUAUUCACUUCUAGGAAAAACUACCUAAACUUCCUAAUCGUUAAAUUUCUUCAUCUGGAGCUCCAAUUAGUCCGUACUUAUUUCAAGAAGAUUGCUGUAAAAGGAUAAAAUGAGAGAACAUGCUGAGGUGCUUUUGAAAACCAUAGAUCACUUUGUUUGAUUAAUCUAUUACAUUUUAUGUACCCUGUUUAAUUCUGCUAUUUUAAAGUUACCUAAAGCACCACACUGAAGUGAGGACUUAGAAAUGAUGGAACCAGUUUCCCCAUUUUAUAUGAAAAGAAAAAUAAGCCAAGGUCUAAUCAGUCUUUUGGAUAUAAAUUUCAAUAGUGAAAAUGAAUACAAAUGAAUAAUAUCCCAGCCUCUAGUGUAUAAGGUGUUUGGCAGAGAAUUAUUUGAUAUGGAACUGCUGAAGCAAGUAACUAUCACCACAGCAGUUCUUUGUAAUCACUGAAAAAGGAUACUGUUGUCUGAGAAGGAUGUCAAAAGAUCGGCCCAGCUCAGGGUGCAGUUUGCACUACUAGCUCCUUGGACAGCUGUAAGAAGAGUCUCUGGCUCUUUAGAAUACUGGAUGAAUUCUGAGCUGGUUCCCCCCACUCAAGAGGAAGUAUGGAUCAAGUUUAGGUGGAUUGAAGCCUGCACUGGACAGCAUCCAAAGGACAUUCCAAGCAUAUCAAACCUGAGAACUGCAAGCAACUUUAAGAAGCUCCAUAUUCAGCAGGUCUUUCCUUUUGAGAAUCUGGAUAAGCUCCAACCAAUCUAAUAGGAUGGCUUGCAGUUUCCCUGGAGAAAGAGGAGGAAGAAAUUCAGAUCAUUUUCUUCAAGCCUGGCGGGAACCCACAACAGUUCGUGUGUAACAGACGAUCUACCUCAAAAGAAUAGGCCUGUUGCUUUACAGUGUUAGUGACCCAUUCCCUUUGACGAUUCCUAGGUGGAGAUGGGGCAUGAGGAUCCUCCAGGGGAAAGACUCACUACCACUGAGCAACAACUCUAGGCCAUGAGGUUCUACCAAGAUUCUUUCCUGGGCCCAGUUAAGAAGGUGAAGUCUCAAGACAACCACCACACAUCCAGAGGGGAACAUGGAUGAUGACUGACACAUCUGUGACACUGGUCAAAGUCUCCCUUGAGGCCCUGUCGGAGAACUUUGCCAAUCAUUUACAUACUUCAAGAUGCCUUGGGAAAGCUGUGCGACAAAACAAAAAACAAGCUGUUUGAGAAGAUAAAACAGAGAUUUAUCUUUUUAUGCUCUGCCUGAUAAUUGACAGAAGCUUCACAGCUAUGAAUGGGAAUGUGAUUAGAAGUGGCACAAAGUUGUCUAUCAUCAGACUGGAUCUAAAGGACUAGCACACUGUGUACUCUAGCUCCUGGUUGUUUCCUUCAUAUUUGCCAAAUCAUUAUCUUUCCCUGAAGCAGUGCAAAGAGCAAGAAAUGUGAACACACCAAGGAAGAUCAACAUGCCUGGCAUGCUAGCAUUUUAGAAUAGCAAUGUGAAUAUGCUCGUCACUGUAUUUUGUCUCUUCUGUUUCUUACCCUCUUCUACGAAUGUCUGCCCUUGCUUAUCUUUUAAGCUCAUAAGUGUGUAUUUGUUUGCUUGUCUAUUUCUUCUCUGAAUGUCUUUGGUCUUUCUUGUCUAAAGUAUGUCUUACCCAUUUCCAUGAUUCUCUUGCUGGUUUCUUCUCUGUGUAUCUUUGUCUCAUUUACUUUUUCGUACUCAGGAGUGGUCUGUGUCUUGUCUUAGAUGUCUCUCUCUAGUUUUCUUCAUUUUGUUACUGAUUCUCCUUGCUCUGCUAGAUCUAGCUCUUCUUUCACUGUUUUCUUUGAGCCUCUUGGCUUGUGUGUGCCUUUUGCUCAUUUCUUGCUAUGCCUGCCUCUCUUCUUUUUCUCUUUGUGAAUUCUGUCACCUGUUCCCCUUGUUGGUUUGACAUUUCACCUUUUCUGAUACUGGCUACCCUUCUGCUGUUUCUACUCUUUAUCUUGCAUAUUUCUCUUUUCUACAUGUUCUUUGUGUCUUUCUUGGGCCAUUUUCUCUUUUUUUCCCCAUGCUUUGUGUGCCCCAGUGUCUCUUUGUUCUUUGUGAUUUUCAAUUUCAGCAUUCAUCUCUGUUCUCCUGAUUCUUCUCUCCUUUUGCCUUUCUAUUCACUUUUGAGUAUUUCUUGAGUCUAUGUCUCUCCCUCUUUGAUUUCAUGCAAUUCUCUCUCCUGCAUGUUUUUUUGUGCAUGUGUGUGUGUACUCUUGUGUGUGUUUGUAAAGGGGUCUCCUAACCCCUUCCAGUAGGUGCAGAGUGUCAGCUAUCAAAAUAAACAUUGCAGAGCUGUUCCUUAUGCCAGACCGCCCUGUGAGAUGAUCCAAAACCAACAGAAGGUCCAAAUGUCUAGACUGGAGUUGGACUGAAGACUCAAGUCUCAGUGAGACAGAAGGCCAAAGACUCAGGAUGGGAUUAAAAAACCUUGACUUGAAGACCUGUGACCCAAAAGAUGGAAGUACCCAAGCACACAUAAAGACCCAGGACUCAAACCUAUCUAUAUAAGACAGAAGGCCCAAGAGAGACAGAUAUUUCAAGAAUAAAUUACAUGGGAAACUGGAGGUUCAUGACAGAGAUACCAGGAAGGAAAGAAGCCCCAGGACCAAAGGAAAUUCCAAGAUGAGAAUCUUAAACCCCAGCUCUUCUCUAUUGCUCUUUUCCUUACUCUUGGACAUUUUUAGUUCUCCCUUCCUUCUUCUCAUGUCUCCAUUUAAAUCUACUUCUUUUGAAAUAUCCUUUUUGAUGUUGCUGUUACCUUUUAAAAAAAAACAUAUCUUUAGAUCAGUAA